AAAGGACUGGUGCCCCUUCCCACAGACCUCGCCCUAUGCGUCUCUUCCAUCUGCUGUUCCUGAGUUAUAUUCGUUCAUAAUAAACCUGUGAUCUGGAAGACUCAAGUGGUCUCUGAAUUUUUCCUGGAAAACAAAAGUGGCCUUCAGAGGUCAAGCGGAGAGAAGUGACCGGAAUUUGCACUGCAUGAGCAUCGCUCCAUUCACAGGAAGAUAAUCAGUGGCUAUUUGGGGUUACCUGUCACGGGGGGACGUUUGCCAGAAGGAUCGGGGUCCCUGAGAGCCUUUUCUUUUGUGGCUGAAGUUAAAAAACAGCUGGAGGACGAGAUGGCCAGUGACAACCUGCCCGGUGGCCUGACAGGAAGGUAUGGAGAAGCGGCAGAGGAUGUCAUUUCUAUUACGGAUCAGCAGUGAUUCUGUGAAUCUACACGGAAAAGUAACCGAAUCAGAGGUUUUGGGGUGCCCACGUCUGUGGGGAAUUGUCCCAGCACCUUCUGCAGAGUCAGGAGGUCUGGGACCCUGACGCGGCUGCGUCCACAUUUCUGACGGUCUGGGCGCACACACACGUAUUUAUGUAAAUCCUGACUACAGACCCCAGUGAAUUAUCAUGAAGUGAACACAGGCACGUGAUGCCCCCGGGGCAAGAAAUGGGGCGUUUCCAGCACGACAGAGUCUCACCUGGUCCUGCCUCAAACCACGCCACGCUUCCGUCCAAGGCCUCUGUCUGACUUCUGACACUGCGGCUUAUUUUGAAUCCUUACAAAAUACAACAAACCAUGGCUUGAUGAGUGGUGUAGGUCCAUGCCUGGGAUCCGAAGACGCAAACCUGGGCCGCUGAAGCAGAGCAUGCUGGACUUAACCACUACACCACAGGGCCAGCCCCAGAUGUGCCUGAGAGAGAGUGGAGUGAAAAACUGAAAGAAAAGAUAGACAGAGAGAAACACCAACGGAGAAGAGUUUGCAGCCCCCGAGGGCCCCUGGACGGCGCAUCUCUGGGUAGCGACAGAGGCAGCCACCGGCCACCUGCUCACCUGGGACCGGGCAGCAGAGGCCGGGGGGUGCAGGAGGCUUGGCUGGGCUUGGAAUGAGGGCAGAGGGACCAGCGGCCUCUGUGGGUGUGUGACCCAGGCUGAUGAGGCGACAAUAGUAGAUGGUGCUCCUGUGUGUCCAGACUACAGUUAUUGCUGAAGACAGAAGCUUUUCAAACACUGCAGGAAAGUCUGUAUUGGCUUCAAUCUGGAUGCCAGACCUUUAUUUUCCUGGGUGCGACUCUGUGCAGACGGGCCAUGAGCGGCUCUGUUUUGUUUGGUUUAUGUUUGUACAUUAAGUAUUAAAUUUGCCCAGCU
rnacentral:lncRNA from 1 species